rnacentral:rRNA from 1 species
ACUCAAAUGAAUUGACGGGGGCUCACACAAGCGGUGGAGCAUGUGGCUUAAUUCGAGGCUACGCGAAGAACCUUAUCCUGGGCUUGACAUGUCCGCAAGGGUGUAGACGUAGGGACCGGAAACGGCACCCCACAGGUAUCCAACCCUGAGCUACACACAGGUGCUGCAUGGCUGUCGUCAGCUCGUGUCGUGAGAUGUCGGGUUAAGUCCCAUAACGAGCGAAACCCCUGUCUCCAGUUGCCAGCGAGUCAUGUCGGGGACUCUGGAGAGACUGCCGGUGUCAAACCGGAGGAAGGUGGGGAUGACGUCAAGUCCUCAUGGCCUUUAUGCCCAGGGCUGCACACGUGCUACAAUGGCACGCACAGAGGGACGCGACUGCGCGAGCAGGAGCCGAUCCCGGAAAACGUGCCCCAGUUCAGAUCGCAGGCUGCAACUCGCCUGCGUGAAGUUGGAAUCGCUAGUAAUCGCGGGUCAGCAACACCGCGGUGAAUGUGUUCCUGAGCCUUGCACACACCGCCCGU